GCUAGUGGUCUUAAAGGUGACCCUUUAAGAAAGCUGAGGGCAUUCUAUUCGAGAUGCCCUCUUUUGUAGAACGAGCCACAAUAGCUCGAGAUCACCAAGACUGGAGGUCAGCAAAGGUCAGUGAAGUUGGGCUGGAGCUCCUUUGAAUGCUCUGUCAGACACACCGAGGACAGAGUAACACCAGUAUCUGUGCUUUCUCACUGGAAGAGACAACACGGAAGUGCCGGACUCUGCCCUUCCAGCUCCUUCAAGAUUUAAUUUAACACCGGCGUUAUUUUCCUUUUCCUUCAUUUUAACAACAAAUCCCAAAUAAAGUCUCUGUAUAUAUACAACAGCUAGUAAAUGUCAUUGGUAACACCUUGUGUUUUGUUUCUAGUUUUCCUCAGAUUGUGUGGUAGAAGUCCUGCCUUCUGUGAUUCACCUCUCAGGCCCCCAUUUACCUCAGCUGUCCUCUGCGAGGAUAAACAUUGCCUGCACUAUGGGGAGAUUUUACAGUAGAUUCUUUAUCUGUAUAAACAAAGAAGAUAUACAACUGGAGUGACAUGUCCUGAGUGACAGACAAGAAUGACAAAGGCAACAGAACAGACUGAAAACAAAGACAAUAAAACAAUAGCACAUCCGGACCAAUGCCCAUGGAUGGACGACAGUCACACAC
ensembl:lncRNA